UACAGAGGGUGCAAGCGUUAAUCGGAAUUACUGGGCGUAAAGGGUGCGUAGGUGGUUAGAUAAGUUAUCUGUAAAAUCCCUGGGCUUAACCUGGGCAGGUCAGAUAAGACUGUUUGACUCGAGUAUAGGAGAGGGUAGUGGAAUUUCCGGUGUAGCGGUGAAAUGCGUAGAGAUCGGAAGGAACACCAGUGGCGAAGGCGGCUACCUGGCCCAAUACUGACACUGAGGCACGAAAGCGUGGGGAGCAAACAGG
rnacentral:rRNA from 1 species